rnacentral:rRNA from 1 species
UACGUAGGGGGCAAGCGUUGUCCGGAAUCAUUGGGCGUAAAGAGCGUGUAGGCGGUCCGGUCAGUCGGUUGUGAAAGUCAAGGGCUCAACCCUUGAAUGCCGGCCGAUACUGCCGGGCUAGAGUCCGGAAGAGGUGAGUGGAAUUCCUGGUGUAGCGGUGAAAUGCGCAGAUAUCAGGAGGAACACCGAUGGCGAAGGCAGCUCACUGGGACGGUACUGACGCUGAGGCGCGAAAGCCAGGGGAGCAAACGGG